rnacentral:rRNA from 1 species
CACGUAGGGGCCGAGCGUUGUCCGGAUUCAUUGGGCGUAAAGAGCUCGUAGGCGGUUCAGUCAGUCGGGUGUGAAAUCUCCGGGCUCAACUCGGAGGGGCCACCCGAUACUGCUGUGACUUGAGUCCGGUAGGGGAGUGGGGAAUUCCUGGUGUAGCGGUGAAAUGCGCAGAUAUCAGGAGGAACACCGGUGGCGAAGGCGGUUCUCUGGGCCUGUGCUGACGCUGAGGAGCGAAAGCGUGGGGAGCGAACAGG